GAUGAACGCUGGCGGCGUGCCUAAUACAUGCAAGUCGAGCGAACAGACGAGGAGCUUGCUCCUCUGACGUUAGCGGCGGACGGGUGAGUAACACGUGGAUAACCUACCUAUAAGACUGGGAUAACUUCGGGAAACCGGAGCUAAUACCGGAUAAUAUAUUGAACCGCAUGGUUCAAUAGUGAAAGACGGUUUUGCUGUCACUUAUAGAUGGAUCCUCGCCGCAUUAGCUAGUUGGUAAGGUAACGGCUUACCAAGGCGACGAUGCGUAGCCGACCUGAGAGGGGGAUCGGCCACACUGGAACUGAGACACGGUCCAGACUCCUAAGGGAGGCAGCAGUAGGGAAUCUUCCGAAAUGGGCGAAAGCCUGACGGAGCAACGCCGCGUGAGUGAUGAAGGUCUUCGGAUCGUAAAACUCUGUUAUUAGGGAAGAACAAAUGUGUAAGUAAAUAUGCACGUCUUGACGGUACCUAAUCAGAAAGCCACGGCUAACUACGUG
rnacentral:rRNA from 1 species